rnacentral:rRNA from 1 species
CCUACGGGUGGCAGCAGUGAGGAAUAUUGGUCAAUGGGCGCAGGCCUGAACCAGCCAAGUCGCGUGAGGGAAGACUGCCCUCUGGGUUGUAAACCCCUUUUAUAAGGGAAGAAUACUUACUACGUGUAGUCCUAUGCCCGUACCUUAUGAAUAAGCGUCGGCUAACUCCGUGCCAGCAGCCGAGGUACUACGGAGGAUGCGAGCGUUAUCCGGAUUUAUUGGGUUAAAGGGGUGCGUAGGCGGUAUUUUAAGUUAGUGGUAAAACGUCGGGGCUUCACCUUGAUUGGCCAUUAAAACUGGAGUACUAGAGUACAGACGAGGUAGGCGGAAUAAGUGAAGUAGCGGUGAAAUGCUUAGAGAUAACGUAGAACCCCGAUAGCGAAGGCAGCUUACCAGACUGUGACUGACGCUGAAGUACGAGAGCGUGGGUAGCGAACAGGAUUAGAUACCCUUGUAGUC